ACAUAAACGACUAUCGCCUGAAUCCCUAUAAAAAUACGUGCACGAUUAUGAUUUUAGUAUAACACAGUAUUGAGCUAUUUUAUUCUCUGGUGAGUAAAUUAUCAUAUGAAACGUUUUCAAAUGUGUGACCAAAGUUAACAGUUUUUUAUUUUUUUAUUUGCAGUCGCUUCUUGACUCCACGAAAACUAAUCAAAAUCAAAAAUGGGCGCAGAAAAAGUAUCCAUGAACAUCGUCGUAGUCGGACAGGUCCAAUCAGCCAAAGCCGCCAAAAUCGUCGCCAAGGCCGCACCCGCCGACAGUCGAUUGAUGGUAAGUUUGACCGCGAGUUUACUUGUUUUGUUUGACUUUUUUCGUUUGUUCCAUUAGACUUCAUUAUGAUUGUACGCAUUAAUUAAUUCAUAUCGCAUUCUGUUAACCAUUUUACUAUGACGAUCACAGUAAAAACUUAUACGAAAUAUUAUUUAUCAAUCGAUAAAUGACUUUAAUAUAUCUAAACAUGUAUUAAAGCGAAUAUAAUAAACAAUAUCGCUUUAUUCUUAAAGCCNUUUUCUCGGUGCCUAAGUAUGUGAAGUCAUUGAUCAUGAUGUCGUUUGUUUGUUUCAGAACUGUUAACUCAUUUACUCAACUCAUCGAAUACACACUCAAAAAUGCCAUAGCCCAUACAAAUGUACACAAUAUUAUGUAACUUAUAAAUAUAAUGUAAAUUGACAUACAAAAAUAAACCAUUCUUUCCGUAAUUUA